rnacentral:rRNA from 1 species
UGCACGUGAUACUGCUUGGCUAGAGAGAGGUAGAGGCGAGCGGAAUUCCCCGGUGUAGGCGGUGGAAUGGCGUAGAUUAUCGGGAAGAACCACCUUGCGGCGAAGGGCGGCUCCGCUGGGCCUUUUUCUGACGCUGAAGGCGCGAAAGGCGUGGGGAGCCAAACCAGGAUUAGAUACCCCUGGUAGUCCCACGCCGUAAACCGCUGGGGUACUAGGUGUUGGGGAGGCUUGGCCCUUCUCCAGUGCCCGCAGCUAACCGCAUUAAGUACCCCCGCCUGGGGAGUACCGGCCGCAAGGCUGAAACUCCAAAGGAAUCCGACGGGUGCCCGCACAAGGCGGUGGAGCCAUGUGGUUUAAUUCGAAGCAACGCGAAGAACCUUACCUGGGCUUGACAUGUCCGGUAGUACUUCCCCUGGAAACAGGGGGGGACCCUUCGGGGAGCCGUCCACAGGUGCUGCCAUGGCUGUCGUCAGCUCGUGUCGUGAGAUGUUGGGUUAAGUCCCGCAACGAGCGCAACCCUUGCCCGUAGUUGCCAGCGGAUCCAUGCCCGGGGACUCUACGGGGACUGCCCGGUGACAAACCGGAGGAAGGUGGGGAUGACGUCCAAGUCAUCCAUGGCCCUUAUGUCCAGGGCGACACACGUGCUACCAAUGGCCGGUACAGAGGGCAGCGAAACCGCGAGGUGGAGC